CUGCAAUAGGCUGGAAGGGUGGAGGUGGGGGAAGCGGUGAAGAAGGCCAGCGGGAUUCUCCACCUGAUGCCAUGGAGAGAAAGGCUGGACACGAAUCUCAUGAUUCUCUGCUGUUGGACGUCGGAAGAGCCUCUUUCCCUCUCUGAGCUUUGGCUUUCUCCCCUGUUCUUGGGACGCGCCAUGAUUAGCUCCUGUGCCUCUAGUGAGGAUGCUGGGAGAUGACCUCUCCGUGCCGUGGGUGUGAUCCUCGGCCAGAGGGGACACUCACUAAGGGCUGGCGAAACCGAACUGAAUGGCAUUCAGCCGUGGUACAAGGCUCACUCCGGGCCAAGAGAGAAAGUGUGUGUGUGCAAGAGAAACUUGCAAAAAACAAGGCCUAUCUCUGUGCACGUCUCUCCUCUGGGAAGGAAGGGGCCCACACAGUGACAAUAGACCACGGGCGCUGACUCAGACAGCCAGUUCCUGCUCACUUCCCCUCGCUGCAGGACAGCGGCUGGGCUGAACGGGAGGUCAGCCCUCUGUGGGGCUCCAACUCAGGCCUCUUGCUGAAAGCCUUGCCUAGAGAAAGACAAGACCAGCUCGCAGACAGCACCCAUCACUGGUCUGCCGUGACGGGACCCACUGGACCAGUGUGGCCGUGGGCAGACGGUGGGGGCGGAAGGAAGCGGGAAAGUAGAGAGAGGAACCUCACUUGUCGAAUCCAGCCUUGCUCUCCCCAGGCUCUGCAGCCCAGGGACCACUUCACAGGCAGCAGAGCAUGUGACCGUUGGGGCCAAACUGACCCAGCCGGGGUGCAGGGAAACGGGGUUUGGGAAGAGCCCCUGGGUACCACACUGAGGAGCCUGGGAACCAGGCUUGGAACAGCGUGGAGCUCCUCGGCCCCUGCCCACAGUGCGGGCCCACACACACUUCUCCCUCGCAUGACGAUUUGCUGGAUGUGGCGUCUUGGUCAUCCACACCGCUAGGAUGGAGAGAGCCGAGUCUGUCACCCUCUUCUGGAGCCGGGGAGGUGAAGGAGGUCCCUGUCCUACCCCCUGGAGUGUGCCCCCUCACCUUCCUUAUCUGCAAAUACUUGAAAGUCUCCUUAGGAUCCCCGUAGCUGGAGAAGUGGGACGGCAGGUGGGCCAGACCUGGGGAGAGAGCCAGGAGAGAAGAAGAGGUACUGUCAGGGGGUUUAGUUGUGACUGUAGAGGGGGAGAAGAAGUCCUGCUAAGUAAUGUGCCAGACCCUAUAUACAAAGCUUUGCACGUCUUGCCUCAUGUGACUCUCGCCACAAACCUAGAGAGGCAGGUGCUCUCGUUACCCGCGUCGUACUCCACGGAGGACACUGGCGCCCAGAGCAGUUCGGCGGCUUACCCAAAGUCACACAUGGCUUGACACCGACAGAACUCUCCGCUCUGCCCUGAGCUGUGGAGCCCAGCCCAGUAGAUGAGGUGUUCUAAUGGCCCUCUGGGAUUACUCCCCACCGCUUCCGUAGUCUGCUCUCCUCCGCCUUGCGGACGGCAGCUCCUGGGGCCAGUCACCUUAAUCAAGGAACCAUAGCGUUCUUUUCGCUCCCUCUGUCCCCUGGACACCCAGGGUCCUGCUGCUGCCACAGCCCCACCCUUGCCGCUCACUCUCCCACAAUGUGGGGAAGGAGGAAACCUUCACUGGGGCCGACCAAAGGGCCGCUCCAUCGAAGGGACAUCCCCAGAGCCAACGAGUGGUAAUAGAGUGGUAAUGACAGUCCCAAUUUGUAGGGCACUUUAUUGUUUGCCAACCGCUUUCCUAGUCAGCAGAGUUGUAGGGAAGGGAACUCCAAGGUGAUCUUACUGGUACACAGUACAGCUUUAAAGGACACUGAAUUACAAGGGGAGAAAAUUAUUCACGGCCCUUCUCUUUCUAGCUUUCUGAUCACAUCAAAGAGAAGGUCUCAGCGUGGUGCUAUUCUUCCAUCUUUAUAAUGCAUGCUAAUCUUCUUUAGGAACCAAGCUAGAGCAGGCCUCAGGCUCAAAACCACUGACAGGCAGUGAUAUCUACAUAGGAAUUAAUUACUCCAGUCGGUUUCCACUAUAUU
ensembl:lincRNA